UAUACCUCAGUUUUAUCAGGUG
rnacentral:miRNA from 10 species